rnacentral:rRNA from 1 species
UACGAAGGGGGCUAGCGUUGCUCGGAAUCACUGGGCGUAAAGGGUGCGUAGGCGGGUUUUUAAGUCAGAGGUGAAAUCCUGGAGCUCAACUCCAGAACUGCCUUUGAUACUGAGAAUCUUGAGUAUGGGAGAGGUGAGUGGAACUGCGAGUGUAGAGGUGAAAUUCGUAGAUAUUCGCAAGAACACCAGUGGCGAAGGCGGCUCACUGGCCCGAUACUGACGCUGAGGCACGAAAGCGUGGGGAGCAAACAGG